rnacentral:rRNA from 2 species
UACGGAGGGUGCAAGCGUUACUCGGAAUCACUGGGCGUAAAGAGCGCGUAGGCGGGAUAGUCAGUCAGGUGUGAAAUCCUAUGGCUUAACCAUAGAACUGCAUUUGAAACUACUAUUCUAGAGUGUGGGAGAGGUAGGUGGAAUUCUUGGUGUAGGGGUAAAAUCCGUAGAGAUCAAGAGGAAUACUCAUUGCGAAGGCGACCUGCUGGAACAUUACUGACGCUGAUUGCGCGAAAGCGUGGGGAGCAAACAGG